rnacentral:rRNA from 1 species
UACGAAGGGGGCUAGCGUUGUUCGGAUUUACUGGGCGUAAAGCGCACGUAGGCGGUUUGUUAAGUCAGGGGUGAAAUCCCACAGCUCAACUGUGGAACUGCCUUUGAUACUGGUGAUCUUGAGUCCGGGAGAGGUGAGUGGAACUGCGAGUGUAGAGGUGAAAUUCGUAGAUAUUCGCAAGAACACCAGUGGCGAAGGCGGCUCACUGGCCCGGUACUGACGCUGAGGUGCGAAAGCGUGGGGAGCGAACAGG